GGGUCUCACUCUGUCACCCAGGCUGGAGUACAGUGGUGCAAUCAUAGCUUACUGCAGCCUUGACCUCCUAGGCUCAAGCGAUUCUCCUGCCUCAGCUCCUGAGUAGCUGGAACUACAGGUGUGUGCCACCAUGCCUGGCUUGAUGUGCUAAAUCAUACAAGCCCUCCAGCCAGGUAUUGUGGCUCUGCUCCAGGAAGUCAUGCAAUGCCAGGCUCUGUCCACUUCAUUGCUCUGCCAGUUCUAGGGGGCUGACCCCAUCCAGACGGUCCAAGAUGACUCCUCAUCACGACUCAUGCUGUGUUCAGAUGCAGCCUGAUACGGACACUUAAACGAUAUCUCCAGGACCUGGUCCUCUCUCAGCGCGGCUCCCUCAUCCUCUGAAUGAGAAUCUCCUCCGCACCCUCAGACAGGCUCUUCCACCAUGAUUGCAAGAAGGUUUGGGCAGCUCCCUCCUUCAUGUGUUCUCAGCUUUAUGUCCACCGUCUCCCCUGUAAGAGUCAAAUGCAAGUCCUGUGCUGCCUCUCAGUGACCUGCACCAAUCCCAGUGGUGGGACAGGAGAACUUGUUCACUAAGACUAUUAGAAGCUCCCCCUCAGCCCACCCCUGCAACUAUGUGGCUGAGAGUGAGGGAGGGAUGAGUCCCUAGAGAAAAUUCUCUAUACUGUUUGACCAGGAGAAGGAUGAAUGACUAAAGUGAACGUGAUGGCUGGAUCAUGAGCAACAACCCUGGAUAAUGAAGUGGAAGCCACAUGUUGAACAUCUUGGAGCAACCAGAGAAGACAUCUUGCUAGCUCUGGGCAGCAUACCACCAGACUCCUUUUAUUUUAUUUUAUUUUUUGAGAUGGAGUUUCGCUCUUGUUGUUCAGGCUGGAGUGCAAUGGCACAAUCUCGGCUCACCGCAACCUCUGCCUCCUGGGUUCAAGUGAUUCUCCUGCCUCAGCCUCCCGAGUAGCUGGGAUUACAGGCAUGCGCCACCACACCCAGCUAAUUUUGUAUUUUUAGUAGAGAUGGGGUUUCUCCAUGUUGGCCAGGCUGGUCUCAAACUCCCAACCUCAGGUGAUCUGCCCGCCUUGGCCUCCCAAAGUGCUGGGCUGGGUGUCAGCCCUUGCUCUGUGGUGCCCAAUAGGGUUAAUGACAUUUGUGUGGCUGUGCGUCUCCUCUCCUCCGAAUACACUGUGCUCUCUGAGGCAGGAGCCCUGAAGGAAGUUCUCUGAAUCACCUAGCACAUCUAGGGCAGAAGCCCCCUCAGUCCUUGUCUUUUGCUUACUCUUCUGGGUCUUUUUCUGUCAUCCAGAUCUUGCUUUUGCUGUGGAGGAAGAAGACAAGAAACUCUAAAGGAAUUGAAAAGAUGAGAUACGAUCUGAACCUGAAGAAGUGGGCAAUUUGUAAUUGUCAGAGAAACAGAUGUGCACUUCCAGCCCGUGCUGCUGCUGCUAAGGUGCACCCACUCACAAACCCACUUCUCUGAGCACAUGACUCUGCUAGCUCCAUGGGGCUCUGCAGGGAAGGAGUGAGGGAGGGGGAAGAGGCAGAGAGCUGGGUUGUCUGAAAGCUUUCUCCAGGUCUUGCCUUUCUCUUCCCUGGAAGCCAAUGCCCGUGAGGUCAUAUCCAUCACAUUACCUCAGAGAUUGUCAGGAUGGACCCAGUUCCAUCACUCUGAGGCUGAGGGUCUGCCAAACCCCAUUGAGGCUGUACCUGGGAAACCAGACCCUGCCUGUCUCUUUAGGAUCUGGGCGAGUCCAUCCUCCCUCCCUUCUCCCCCAUGAGGCACCAGUGUCCUGAUUGUAUCACAGCUUCAAAAUUCCCUGACUCAUGCCAUCCUCGAUUUUAGAAAAGAGCUUAUUCAAGUGGUGUAGGCUGCACACUCCACCCCCUCCCACUCAAUUCAGCGAUUGAAUUACA
rnacentral:lncRNA from 10 species